GACGAACGCUGGCGGCGUGCUUAACACAUGCAAGUCGAGCGGUAAGGCCCUUUCGGGGGUACACGAGCGGCGAACGGGUGAGUAACACGUGGGUGACCUGCCCUCAGCUCUGGGAUAAGCCUGGGAAACCGGGUCUAAUACCGGAUAUGACUCCAUGACGCAUGUUGUGGGGUGGAAAGCCUUGUGCGGCUGAGGAUGGGCCCGCGGCCUAUCAGCUUGUUGGUGGGGUGANGGCCUACCAAGGCGACGACGGGUAGCCGGCCUGAGAGGGCGACCGGCCACACUGGGACUGAGACACGGCCCAGACUCCUACGGGAGGCAGCAGUGGGGAAUCUUGCGCAAUGGGCGAAAGCCUGACGCAGCGACGCCGCGUGAGGGAUGACGGCCUGG
rnacentral:rRNA from 1 species